CAGUAGCCGCGGUAAUACGUAGGGUGCGAGCGUUAAUCGGAAUUACUGGGCGUAAAGCGUGCGCAGGCGGUUCGUUAAGACAGAUGUGAAAUCCCCGGGCUUAACCUGGGAACUGCAUUUGUGACUGGCGAGCUAGAGUAUGGCAGAGGGGGGUAGAAUUCCACGUGUAGCAGUGAAAUGCGUAGAGAUGUGGAGGAAUACCGAUGGCGAAGGCAGCCCCCUGGGCCUAUACUGACGCUCAUGCACGAAAGCGUGGGGAGCAAACAGGAUUAGAUACCCGGGUAGUCCCUGUCUCUUAUAC
rnacentral:rRNA from 1 species